UACGUAGGGUGCAAGCGUUAAUCGGAAUUACUGGGCGUAAAGCGUGCGCAGGCGGUCGAUGUAAGACAGUUGUGAAAUCCCCGGGCUCAACCUGGGAACUGCAUCUGUGACUGCAUCGCUGGAGUGCGGCAGAGGGGAUGGAAUUCCGCGUGUAGCAGUGAAAUGCGUAGAUAUGCGGAGGAACACCGAUGGCGAAGCAAUCCCGUGGGCCUGCA
rnacentral:rRNA from 1 species